CAGUUAACCCUGGAGCCAAAAUUUAAAUCCUGUUCUGGUACAGAGAAGAUUAGCAUGGCCCCUGCAAAGGAUGACAUGCAAAUUCGUGAAGUGUUCCAUAUUUAA
rnacentral:snRNA from 1 species